CCUGUCUUGCGUCCUUUUCAUCUAAUGACUUCCUUUUUAACUGGCCAAUCUGCCCCAACCUAUCAUGCAUAACAAUAAUUUGAUUGGAUUAUUAAAAAGAUGGUCCCAACUUAUGGAUAUUUUCUGCUGAUUCUUAAACUCUAAUCAGUUGGAAGUUUUUGUUCCUUAAAUAGUAAAACAGUUUGAGAAUGAUAAGUAAUACUCGGCAUUUGCUAUCAGAAAAGCCAUAAUAUUCACCUCUCUGCAUGCACUCAGUUUCUAAUUAAUUUAUUUCUGAAAUUAUCAGGGUACUCUUAGAUCUACGGAACAAGGAGAAAUGGUGCAGGCAAAAUUUGGACUACCCCAAAUGGCUGUUCGUCAGCUAGAGAUUUACACCACGGCUGUUCUACUUGCUACAUUGCGUCCCCCACAGCCUCCAAGGGAACAAAAAUGGCGUAAUCUGAUGGACGACAUAUCAAAUUUGAGUUGCAGGAGCUAUAGAAGCACAGUAUAUGAAAACCCUGAGUUCCUCGCUUACUUCCACGAAGCAACACCUCAGGCUGAGCUAGGAUUUCUCAACAUUGGUAGUCGUCCAACAAGGAGAAAGAGUACAGGAGGAAUUGGGCAACUCCGUGCAAUUCCAUGGGUAUUUGCAUGGACCCAAACAAGAUUUGUCCUCCCUGCAUGGCUUGGAGUUGGAGCAGGCUUGAAGGGUGUUUGUGACAAGGGACAUACAGAAGACUUACGAGCUAUGUACAGAGAAUGGCCUUUCUUCCAGUCCACUGUUGAUCUUAUAGAGAUGGUUUUAGGAAAAGCUGACAUUCCUAUAGCGAAGCAUUAUGAUGAUGUUCUAGUAUCUGAAACACGAAGAGAACUUGGUGCAGAUCUGCGGAGGGAGCUAUUGACGACAGGAAACUAUGUCCUAUUGGUUACUGGUCAUGAGAAGCUAUCUGCAAACAACCGUAGUUUGAGGAGGUUGAUCGAGAGCAGGCUUCCAUAUCUGAAUCCAAUGAAUAUCCUGCAGGUGGAGAUAUUAAAAAGGUUGAGGCGUGAUGAAGACAACACUAAGCUUAGAGAUGCCUUGCUCAUUACGAUAAAUGGUAUUGCUGCAGGGAUGAGGAACACUGGCUAAAGAUGGCCAAGAGGUUUAGAUUGAUACAAAAUACAUACAGUGCUUAUGGAAAAUGUAGAUAAAAUCUUGUGCUUAAUUAUCCUUCUAUAACCUAUCAGUUGUUUUGUUUUCGCUGCCUGCAGAUUCUCUAUCGUAUAUGUCGUGGUUAAGCAUUUGAAUGAUUAAACAGUUUUGGGCUUUUUCUCAAAUGAAAUGGCUUUUCUUUUGUUCAAUGGUUAUAUGUCUUAUUUACAUCCCAUAAUUCGUCUUCAAACAGGUCUGGGCAGAACAGAAGUGUAAGAUUCAAUAUAUUUUCAAGGAAGUGAUGCAAGCUAUGUUACUCGGACUCUUCAAAAAUAUUGUUGGGUGCGUGUCGGAUCCUUCAAAUUUAGUAUUUUCUUUGGAGAAUUCGAUACGGGUGCGGCAACACUUUUGGAGAGUCCGAGCAACAUAGGAUGCGAGAAGCAAAACUUUCACAUGUUAGGUAUGCAAGCUAGUACAUGGGUGAUGGCCCUUGGCGCUCCCGUGAUAUUUGUCUAUGAUAAUUGUAGGCCCUAGACACUGAUGUGAGGUUAAAGUUUUAACCAAUGCAACAUACUAUCCAUAAACAUUAUACUCCCAUAAUAUAAUAAAGCAAGAAAGUGAAAAAUUUCAAAAAUAGUAAAAUGGAAAAAUUGCCCCCUUUUGAUUAGCUUGUUUCCAAGAGGGAGAGUUUUAUGGCAAUCUCAGGCAUACUCAAAUAUUGGGCCUAGGUUUGUUGAUGGAUCUGGUCUUGUCGAACAGGUUCGAAUUCGAGGUUCGAACAUAAAAGCUCAUUAGCGAGCUAAAUUGGUUAGUGGUGGAAGCAAUUCCUACGAACUGCAAACCAAAGGAUGUACUUGCCCCUUCGUCGGCCAUUACCGUUGUGAUAUUUGUCUUUGAUAAUUGCUCACUAAUUUCACUUGCCUCUACGGCGCUCCCUUGAUAUAUUGCCCAUAAUCAUUAUGAAAUAUUUGGUUCGAGCCCUGCCCUUAAUGGGCCAACUCGCAACGUAAAUUUGGGAGAAAUUAAAAAAUAGCAAGAUUUACAAGUGGUCAUUUAAAAACAGCCACAGUUUCAAAGGUAAUCAAAAUUUAGCCACUUUUCAUGUAAAGAUAAAUCUGAACGAAAACAGUGUUCAAAGUCCAGAAAAAUAUUUCAGUUCGGGAGUUUGGGAGCGGGUGGUUGAGGUGAGUGUGAGGGAGAUGACGUCUAUAUCCGUAAACCAGUUCGGUUUCAUGCCAGGCCGCUCCAGUACAAAAGCUAUCCACCUUGUCAGGAGAUUGGUCGAACAGUUUAGGGAUAAGAAGAAGGAUCUGCACAUGGUUUUUAUCGACUUGGAGAAGGCGUACGACAAGGUCCCAAGGGAGGUACUAUGGAGGUACCUGAAGGCGAAGAGUGCGCUGGAAGCCUACAUCAGAGUGAUGUACGAUGGAGCUAAGACUAGGGUUAGGACGGUGGGUGGCGACUUAGAUCAUUUUCCGGUGGUUAUGGGGCUUCAUCAAGGAUCUGCGCUUAGCCCUCUCUUAUUUUCNNNNNNNNNNNNNNNNNNNNNNNNNNNNNNNNNNNNNNNNNNNNNNNNNNNNNNNNNNNNNNNNNNNNNNNNNNNNNNNNNNNNNNNNNNNNNNNNNNNNNNNCUCUUGUUUGCUUUGGUGAUGGAUGCUCUAGCUCGCCAUAUUCAAAGGGAUGUGCCAUGAUGUAUGCUAUUUGCGGAUGACAUAGUCUUGAUAGACGAGAUGAGGGUCGGUGUUAACGAGAGGUUGGAGGUUUGGAGACAGACUCUAGAGUCUAAGGUUUCAAACUAAGCAGGUCUAAGACAGAAUACCUGAAGUGUAAGUUUAGCGCCGAGUCGAGCGAAGUAGGCAGGGACGUGAAGCUUGGAUCUCAGGUCAUCGCCAAGAGGGACAAUUUCAGAUAUCUUGGGUCGGUGAUUUUGGGGGACGGAGAGAUCUACGGGGAUGUCACCCACUGUAUAGGGGCGGGAUGGUCGAAUUGGAGGGUUGCAUCAGGAGUCUUGUGUGACAAAAAAGUGCCACAGAAACUCAAGGGGAAGUUUUAUAGAGCUGUGGUUAGACCUGCCAUAUUGCAUGGGGUGGAGUGCUGGCUGGUGAAAAACUCUCAUGUUCAGAGAAUGAAGGUUGCAGAGAUGAGGAUGCUCAGGUGGAUGUGCGGGCUCACCAGGUUAAAUAAGAUUAAGAAUAAAGUUAUUGGGGAAAAGGUGGGGGUGGCACCGGUGGAUGAGAAGAUGCGGGAAGCGAGACUCAGGUGGUUCGGGCAUGUGCAGAGGAGAAGCCCCUAUGCCCUGGUGAGGAGUUAUGAGUGACUGGUAGUGGUUGAUGCGAGUCAAGGUAGAGGGAGGCCCAAGAGGUACUGGGGAGAGGUGAUUAGGCAGGACAUGGCUAGAAUUCGGAUUUUCGAGGACAUGACCCUUGAUAGGAGAGUCUGGAGGUCUAGUAUCAGAGUUGUAGGAUAGGGGCUCCUAGUAUUUUUCAUACUUCUUUCCCGAGGUUGGGGGGUUUGGUAGGGCUCUCUAUAGAUGAUUUGUGUAUUGUAUUGUGCCCCCUCAUGGUAGUUACUGGUUGAUAUUACUGCAUGCCAUUUUAUUUAUGGUUUACGGUUUAUGUCUAGAUAAUUAUUUAUGUGAUUUCUGCUGGAGUUACUAAUGCUCUCUUGUUUUCAUUUUUCUUUUCCUUUUCCUGAACCGAGGGUCGAUUGGAAACAACCUCUCUGCCCUUUCGGGUAGGGGUAAGACCUGUGUACGUAUUACCCCCUCCCCCCAGAACCCGCUUUGUGGGUUUAUACUGGGUAGUUGUUGUUGUAUAAUAUACUGGAGUUCCAGUAUAAUAUACCGGACCAGAAUAAUAUACUGGAGCCAGCAAAGUUUACUGGUCCAGCAUAAUAUGCUGGAAGUUCAUACACAGGUACACCGAAUUCCAGUAUAUUAUGCCGGACCGUCUCUGUUACAGCAAAAUAGUAUAUAUUUUUUAAUGAUUUAACAAACACUGACUAUUUUUGAAUAAUCAAUCUUAUUAGACCGUACUACUUCUACCGUAAAUUUAAAUUAGUUAGGUCAGUGGGUUUUGGGUGCCAAAUCAUGAUUAACCAAAAGGAAUGUGUAGAACAAGGUUGAUCUUCUGAGAAAAAAAAUAAUCCAUAAAAUGCAAGUGUUUCCCUCCACCACCACGAGUGGAAUCUAAGAUGAUCUCAUAUACAAAUCACAAUACACAACUAUCCAGUACCUUUGGCCAUUUUUUUCCCUUUAAAUAAAUAGGAUUCUAUAUGUUCUUUAAGAAAGAUUCUAUCUCCAGCAAAAAUGAGUGAGGUUCAAUCAUCGUUUCAAAAGCAACGUAUAUUUGGGAAAUCGUCCAGCAGCAUUAGAAUGCUUUCAUUUUGGUAAAAACCUUGGUGCUGUACAGCUUUGUUUUUCCAGUCUUUCCUCAAGCAAUGUACCAUACUCAUAGAGUGUCUACUAAUGUUUAUCUUAUGAAGAGGCGAAUCCAAGACUUCAAGUUUAUUAGUUGACCUUAAGUUAAUUAGUAUAUAAUAAUAAUUAGGUUCACAGUCAAAUAUUUACACUAUUUAUUAAAUUUCUUAAUAGAUAUACAAAAAUUACUGGAUUCACGUGAACUCGUGACAUUCUAAAUCCGCCCAUAAAUUCCUCUCCUUCUAAUUAUGGUGUUUUCUUCGUUUAUUCUUCCAACUGUUUCAUCUUUCAUGCAUGUACAUGUACGAUAAAAUUACAGAUAUGCUUUACAUUAUAGGGUUGUGGGAAAAGUCAUUUCAUUUCUUUUCUUGAAUUCUUGUUUCUGACCCCCAACAGGCAAUUAACUUUCCACCAUUCAGUUAUUCACUUUCUAAAAGAAGAAAGAAAUUGGAGAUCAUGAGAUCCAUAACUGAUCUGUAUAUGUACAUCUUAAGCGGAGAAAAUUUUUCUCUUGACAUUAUGGUCACCAAUAUUAUCAUGAAAAUCUCUUCCAACAACAACAACAACAACAAUCCAGUAUAAUGUCACUUAGUGGGAUCAGGGGAGGGUAGUAUGUACGCAUACCUUACACCUAUUAUGAGGUAGAGAGGCUGUUUCCAAAUAGACCCUCCGCAUCCUUCCCUCCAAGAAGACUCGAACUCACAACUUCUUGAUUGAAAGUGGAGUUCGAUUACCAUCAGAGCAACCCCUCUUGUCCGGUGAAAAAGGCAAUCCGGUAAAUGAUGUCUAUGGACAUGCAAGGGGAAAUAUUUUGAUGAUGAACCCUUUACCUAGCUUAUAUCUUGCUUAUUCUUUAGUAUUGCAGGAUGAGAGUCAGAGAGAGAUCUAUAUGAAUCCCCUCCUCUUUGCUGACUUUUCAACCUUCAUGGUGGGCACUCAAGCUAACCUUGCUACACAAGGAGCUUUUGUGCAAAGGAACAACAAACAAGGACAAAGAAACACUGGGCAAUUUCAGCAGCAAUCACAAAAAUAAGGAAACAACAUGCAAUUCCAAAAAUCAGGAAGCAAUGUGUAGAAAAAUGGGAAUACUCCACAAAGAAACUUUGUUGCAAAAGGAAAGAAUCACAAGUUCAAUCCUAACUUAUCUUGCGCCCAUUGCAAGAAAAUAGGACAUUCAGUGGGAGAUUGCUACAGAAUCAUUGGUAUUCCUGAAGAUUUUAAAUUCACCAAUCCUAGAGGUUCUCAAGUUCAAUUCAGAAGCAAUGCAACUAUAACAGGGGAACAAGGAGAGGACGUAAGCAACUAUUCUGAAGUUCUAAAUCAGCACCUUUCCAAGGAUCAAUUUUCACAAUUAGUCUAGAUGAUAAAGCAAGUAAAAGCUCCAGAUGCAGGGAGUUUCAAUUCAGAAAUCAACACAAAUGCAGUAGCUGGUACUAUUAUGAAGUACACUGGAAGUUCUUUUUCAGUUUUUAACACUAAUACUUGGAUAACUGAUUCAGGAGCCUCAGAACAUAUGUGUUCUGAUUCAAAUGCUUUCAUUUCUUUAAAACCCCUUCCAGUUCCUUUACACAUAAAUCUGCCCAAUUCUUUGAAGGUGACAGUCACACAUACUGGGAAGAUUCCUAUCUCUGCUGAAUUCAUUUUAGAAAAUGUCCUUCAUGUUCCCAGUUUCAAAUAUAACCUGUUAUCAGUUAAUAGGUUUUGUGUUCAAUUUCACUACUUAAUGUUAUUUACUCAUAACUUGUGUCUCUUGUAGGCCCCUUUAGUGAAGAGGGCUCAAGUUUUUGGUGAAGAAAAGGAAGGACUAUAUCUGUUGCAACCUAGUGGUGAUAGGUCUAGCUCAAAGGAGAAGUGUUUUUUAUCUUCAAAUCAACGUGUUCGUGUUAUUUACUCAUAAUCUGUAUCUCUUACAGGCUCUUUUAGUGAAGAGGGCUCAAGUUUUGGUGAAGAAAAGGAAGGACUAUAUUUGUUGCAGCCUAGUGGUGAUAGGUCUAUCUCAAAGGAAAAAUGUUUCUUCAAAUUGAAGUGUUCUUAGUCCAGUUUCAGUUUCUUUUCCCUUUUCUGCAAAGCAACUUCUGAUCUAAACCUUUGGCACAUUAUAUUGGGGUAUUUGCCUUUUUCAUCAAUGAAGCAUCUCAGUUUUAUUUCAAGUUUCCUAAUUCUGAAUGUUUCUGUGAUAUUUGUCCCCAAGCUAGCAAACUAGGAUUCCUUUUCCUUUGAGUCAAAUUACUUCCAAAAGAGCGUUUGAAUUUAUUCAUGUUGAUACAUGUGGACCCUAUAAGAAAUCCACCUACAAUGGCUUUAAGUACUUCUUGACUAUUGUGGAUGACUUUAGCAGAGGAACUUGGACUUUUUUAUUAAGCACAAAAUCUAAUUCUUUUUCACUUUUGAAGGAUUUUCUCACUAUUGUUGAAAGGAAAUUUGGGGUAAAGGUCCAGAAACUAAGGGCAGACAAUACAUUUGAACUAGGUAAAGGCUCUCAACAGGUUUCUUUCCUUAGUUCUCAAGGAAUCUUGCAUCAAACAUCUUGUGUAGACACCCCUCAACAUAAUGGGAUUGUUGAAAGGAAGCACAUGCACCUUCUAGAAAUGGCAAGGGAUUUAUUGUUUCAAUCUAGGUGCCUAUACCAUACUGGGAAGAAUGCUUAUUGACAGCCAUACUUUUGAUCAACAGGCUGCCCUCUAAGGUACUUCAUGGCAAGACACCUUUUUCUAUACUGUUUAACCAGUCACCCUUUUAUGAAAUGCUUAGGAGUUUUGGAUGUCUUUGUUUUGCAUCUACCCUAUCUGGUAGAAGGAUCAAAUUUGAGACUAGGGCUAACACAUGUGUUUUCUUGGGAUAUCCUAUGGGUCAAAAUGGAUAUAAAGUACUAGAAUUAGAUACAAAGAAAGUUGUGGUAUCCCGGGAUGUUCAUUUUCAAGAAACCAAAUUUCCUUUUGCCUCAAACACCUUAUCUCCAGAUCUUAUCUUCCCUACUCCCAUACUAGUAGAAACAACCUUUAUUGAACCUUACCCAACCUCUCCUUUACCUGAACCUAACAAUUCUCAAGCACCCAGUCCUUCAAGAAUUCACUCACCAACUAACACUACUACUCAAUAUCCUCAGUCUUCCUAUCCCUCUGGUCCUAUUCCCUAUGAGGAGCAUCCCACACCAGCAGUGAGAAAGUCCACCAGAGUAACUACAUGGCCUAGUCAUUAAAGGAUUUCAUCUGUAGUAACAUCUACCUCACAGACCCGACGCCCCUCCAAACCUAAUAUUUUUUCUUUUGGAGCUCUCUCUAGUCAUAAUUAGCAGGUAUUGCAAUCUGUAACAACUAUAUCAGAACCUAGCAGCUUUUCUGAAGCAUCUAAGCAUCUUGGGUGGCAGCAAGCAAUGUAAUCAAAGAUUGAUUCUUUGGAAGCUAAUCACACUUGGGAUGUGGUUGUGAGCACGUGAUUUUGCCCUACAUGAAAAUAACUCCUAAAAAAUAGUCCAAAAAUAACUUUUAUUACUUUUAGAAAAUUUCCUAUUUAUUUGCAUUUCAAGCAUUUUUAACAUUUUUAAAUCAUAGGAAAAUCCUAAAAAAUUACUACUUUCGCAUAUUUAUCUUUUAGCCUUUAAAAUUAGCAUUUUUCUUUAGCUUUAAGUUAAUUAGUUGUUUUAAUGUUAAAAAAUAAAUAAAGUAUUUUAAUUUCUACAAAAAUAAAUUAAUUUAGAAUUUUUAAUUUUUUAGGAUUUUUAAUCAAAGAAAAAGAAAACAAAAUAGACAAGAAAUUGAAAAAGCUUGGUUUUAAAUUUAAUUUGAGUCACCCCAAAGAGCAAAUACAAUGGCCCAAGUGUAGUUCUUUACCCCAUUCUCAAACAUUCCAAGCCCCAAAACCCAUGACCUGAACCUACCCAAAGCCUAAAACCUACUCUAUAAGAAAAAAUAACGGACGAAUAAAAGAAGGAGAGGAGGGAAACGCCGCUACAGUGAUUAAAAAAGGACUCCAGCAGCUAACCUUGAUCUCCUUCAUGGGAAACUUAACAAAAAAAAAAACCCUAGAGCUCUAAAGGCUUCAGCCGCAACAGUAAAGAAAAAAAGCAUACGUUGCUUCUUCUUCAAUCAUCUUCCUUACACACAAUGAAGCAGCCAUUGAAAGACCCUAAGAUCUAGACCUAACAUGGCUUGACCAAGAAGCUGUUGCCGCAACACCUCCCUGACCAAGAGAACUUCCCAUCGUUCUGCUCCUUCUCGAGCAAACGGACAGACCCGGACCUCUCGUCUUCAUCUUUUUCAUGACGAUCUAAGCCGGGCACUGAUUUUCAGAAAAAAUCCUGUCCCCCUCGCUCACGUCCGAUUCAGCUUCUGUUUCUCCGGCGACAAAGCCGGAAUCCGGCAACCACCAACACUCACAGGGACAGACACACAAACACACACAUACACCGGGUCGUUCUUGUUUUUCUACUCAAAAGAGAGGUCUUGAGUUAUGCUCUUUGUCCUGCUCAUAUCCGCAUGUUUGUGAGGCUAUUCGUUCAAGUUCAGGUCCGGGAAACAGUUUGGUGUUCGAGGCUGCUGGUUUGAGGAUCGUCGUGUCGGUCUCUUUGUUCAGUCCGUGUAACUGCUGGAGUUUCAUUAAUCGAAAGAAAUUCCAGGUUCAUUUCUGACUUUCAUCUGUUUAAUGGGUUAUAACUGAUUUUGAUUUACAUGUGUUUAUGUGGAAAUAGUAAUUUAGAUUUGUUUUCUUCGAUUAUGGAAUUGGUUCGCUGAGUAUCUUCAUCGACGUAUGGUGUUUGCUUUCACUGGUCUUCCCUCAUUUUACUUGGUCAUUGAUUGAAAUACUAGUCUCAUGUUGGUUGUGUUCUGAAUUUGGAAGUUUGUGUUUUGUUCACUAGCAGUGUGGAACGAAAGUUGAAUUUUGUUAAGUGAAUUGCAUAUUGAUUUUAAGUUUUUCCUGGUUUGUUCAAAUAUUCCGUAUGCAUGGACUUCCCUUAUUUCCAAUUGGUAACAAUGUUUGAGAGUUAUAUGAAAAAUUGGUGAAGUUUAGAUGGCAUGGAAAGCUCAUUGGUUUGAACUAGUUAAUGGCAAAUCUCUUUCAAAAUUGAUGUAAUUAGACUCACUAGAUUGAAUUGUAGUCUUUUAUCAUUUUUUUCGUUAACUAACUAUAAUUGUUUGGUUAUUCAAUUACUUCCAAUGCGAAGGAAGAAGAGGAAAAGAACAAUAUGGAUUGUUGUAAUUUAUUAGCAUUCUUUAAUCGUUUUUGUUUUCUUUCCAGUUUUCUUGACCAUCUCUGGCAAUGUUAGUUUAAUUCAUUUUCCUACUUGAAUUCAGAUAUAUGAGUUAUUAUGAACAUCCGUAGUUUGCAUUAGAUCGACCUUCAAAUAAUAAAUGAGGUGAGUACCACCAAAUAAAAAGCAAAUUACGGGGCCCUCAAUAAUGGUUACAUAAAAUUACUUAGAAUAUGGGAGGGCCGUUUAGCGAAUUUCGCGGCCUUCCCCGGAAUAAUAAUACAUUAGAAUCUUUAGGCGCGUUUUAAUUAAACUAUUUUUUUAAACUCGGGUGUGCAUUGAUGCAACCCAAAUUCAAAUCUCGACGAAGUCAAAAUGUGUUGGCAACCAAGGGUGCCUUGAUGGCGACGUGGUCAGAGACACGUUUUCACGAUGUUGUAAUUCUUUUGAAAAUAAUUAUAAAAGCAGGUUAUAAAUAAAAAGUGCACAUAGGUUAGCAUGUAUGAAAAUUAGAUAAAAUCAAAUAAAACAGUUGCGCGACCGUGCUAGAACCACGGAACCCGGGAAUACCUAGCACCUUCUCCCGGGUUAAGUCCUUAUCCGGAUUUCUAGUUGGCAGACUGCAGUACAAAGUCAUCUUUUUCCUCGGUUCGGGAUUCAAUCGGUGACUUAGGACACCAUAAAUCUCCCAAGUGGCGACUCUGAAUAAUUAAUAACCAAAUCCCGUUUCGAUUGUCCUUUAAUUGAUAUAACUCCUUUAUGCCCUUGCGGUGUAGAUGAAAAAGGAGGUGUGACAGCUCUGGCAGAUUUUGGCCCAAUUUGGGCCACCUACUCCUUUUCAUCCUUUUCCUUCUUUUUUGUCUUGUUUUUUUUUAUUUUCUUCAAUUAUUUCUCUUUUUAUUCCAUUUUUCUAUUUUGUAAUUUUUAUUAUUUUGUGUGAAUUUAUAAAGGUUGCCGAAAUAAAAAUAAACAUCAAACUAAACUAAUUAGUGCCAAAAAUUACUUCAAAAACUAUUUUGCAACAAAUUUCACAAUUAAAACACUUAAAAUGCAAAAUGAACUAUUUUUGUGAUUUUCGUGCUUUGUUAUAAAACAAAUCAACCCCUACUUAACCCUAAAAUUAGAUCCUAAAUGCAAAUGCGUAUUUUUGUAGUUUUCAUAUGAAUGAAGAUGCACAAAUAAGAUGCAAACAAUUAUCAGAGAAAUGACACAAAAAUGCACAAAAAUUGUAAAAAUAAAGAAAAUCACUUAUGUUUGAAUUUUAUGGGAAUAAAUCAUAUAUAAGGCAAACAUCACAUGCUCACAACUGUCCCUCUUUGCUCGGAAACAUGAAAGAUUUUCGGGCAAAGAUAAGUGAGCAAAUACGAGCGAUUUUUGCCCGUUUGAACAUUCCGUGUGAAGCAUUUAAAAAAUAUGACCGCACCCUGCUUCAGAGGUUGCCUACAUAUCCUGGGCUAAACAGGAAUCAGGUCAGUGUUCUGUUGUGAAUUAUUUUUUGAAAAGUUUGACCGCACGCUGCUUCAGAGGUUGCCUACAUAUUCUGGGCUAAAACAGGAAUCAGGUCAGUGUAGUUUUGGAGUGUCUGGUAGAUGGGACUACCAGAAGCUGUGAUUUCACUGUGAUUGUUGCUGCUGCUACUGCUCGCUGACCUUCCUUAUUACACCAAUCAAUAUUAAAAAAAACUAGCCUAAGCUAUGAACUACGAAUUACAAAAAUCCUAUCUAAAUUCUUCAAACUUGCUCUUGUACUUCCUUGUCGUUUUGUUGUCAUGUAUUUUCUCUUGCUGCCUUGUUGUCUUGUGUUUUCUUUGGUGAAACUCAUUGUUGUUACUUCAAAUCGUGCACGGAGAUGUUGUUACUUCCCUCCAAAUUGUUGAACUAGAAUAAACUUGAACUUGAAUGUAUUCCUUGUUAUUCAGGCAAGCUCCUGAUUGCUGAAUUUGAACUUGACUUUAUUCCUCUGUUAUCCAGGCGGACUCCUGACUUCAUGAAAUAGACAAAACAAAGAAAACUUUCUGCCCCAGUUUGGAAACUGGGCACCGUUACCGGAUAUUAAUAAGAAUUUUGACUACAACUUGACUUGAAAUACCUCUGUUAUACAGGGGGGCUCUUGAUUUCAAAACUUGAAUUUUAUACAUCCGUUCUUAAGGCGAGCUCCUGACUUCAACUACAAUUUAAAAUUUAACACCUCCAUUUUCCAGGCGGGCUCCUGAUUUCAACUACUUUAAGAUUUAGCACCUCCAUUAUCCAGGAGGGCUCCUGAUUGCUAAAUAUUUAAUUGUAUGUCUGUAUUCUCCAGGCGGACUCCUGACUUCAGAUUGGACAAAGAAAUCGAUUGAAAACUACACAUUGAAUUGUAUCACCUCUAUUUUUCAAGCGGCAUCCUGAUUGCUAAAAUUUGGGCUGCAUGCCUCUGUUCUCCAGGAGGGCUCCUGAAUACUGAAAUUGAAAUAUAUGUCUCUAUCCUCCAGGUGGGCUCUUGACUCCAAAAAUUUAAAGUGUAUGUCUCUAGUUUCAGGCGGACUCCUGACUAACGAAAUUUGAGAUGCAUGUCCCUGUUUUCCAGGCAGACUCCUGACUUCAAAAAUAGACAAAGAAAUUGAUUGAAAACUAAAAAUGGAUAGUGUCAUCUCUAUUCUUCAGGCGGGCUCCUCACUUUUGAAAUUUAAACUAUAUGCCUCUGUUUUCCAGGCAGGCUCCUGAAUACUGAAAUUGAAAUAUAUGUCUCUGUUCUCCAGGCAGACUCCUGACUUCAAAAAUUUAAACUGCAUGUCUCUGUUCUUUAGGCGUACUCCUGACUUCUAAAACUUGAAAUAUAUGUCUCUGUUCUCCAAGCGGACUCCUGACUUCAAAAUUUGAUAUGCGUACCUCUGUUCUCCAGGUGGGCACCUGACUACCAAAAUAAAUGAAGGAAUUGAUUUGAAACUAACAACUUGAAUUGUAUCACCUCUAUUCUUCAGGCGGGCUCUUGAUUCCAAACUUGAAUUGCAUGUCUCUGUUCUUCAGGCGGACUCCUGAUUGCUAACUUGAAAUGUAUGUCUCUAUUCUCCAAGCGGACUCCUGACUUAAAAAAUUCUAAAUGCAUGGCGGACUCCUGACAAAAAUUCUAAAUGCAUGUCUCUAUUCUCCAGGUGGACUCAAAAAUGCUAAAUGCAUGUCUCUAUUCUCCAGGCGGACUCAAAAAUGCUAAAUGCAUGUCUUUAUUCUCCAGGCGGACUCCUGAAAUUUAAAAUGCGGACCUCUGUUCUUCAGGCGGGCACCUGACUACCAAAAUAAAUGAAGGAAUUGAUUUAAAACUAACAACUUGAAUUGUAUCACCUCUAUUCUUCAGGCGGGCUCCUGAUUCCAAACUUGAAUUGCAUGUCUGUGUUCUUCGGGCGGACUCUUGAUUGCUAACUUGAAAUGUAUUCCUCUAUUCUUCAAGCGGGCUCCUGACUACUAAAACUUGAAAUGUAAUCCUCUAUUCUUCAGGCAUGCUCCUGAUUUCACAAAAAUAGACAAGACAACAAAAAUUUUCUGCCCCAAUUUGGGAAAACUGGGCUUGUUACCACAUACUAAAAAGGAUUGAAACUAAAACUUGAAUUGCGAUAAGACUGAAGUAUAACUCUUAACAUCUAAAUACUGAAAUGUACUCCUCUGUUUUUCAGGAGGGCUCUUGACUUCAACAUCGUUUCAUGCCACUCCUCAUUUUCUUGCAUUCUACUAUAUUGAAGUGUACUCCUCUGUUUUUCAGGCGGGCUCCUGACUUCAACAUCUCUUCAUGUCACUCCUCAUUUUCUUGCAUUUUACCCAUGCCACACUAGCGGUUGAUUACUACCUACUUUUUCUUCACGAAAAAUUCCUCCCGACAAACAAUUUUAUGCCCCUGUUUCAAUCACCGAAAAUUUGUUAGUUUAAAAAUGGUGGUUAGCUGAUGGCAUUCUUGUUGCAUCAUCCUUCCAUUUCCUUGCUUUGUGUUGCCUGACUUCCUCUGAAUUGCCUGACUUUUUGACCGAAUUUCACGUUCCCCAAUUUCUGACAACCUGAUUGCUUUUGUACUCCCACUGUUGUUUCAUCUUUCCAACUUUCUUUGCAUGAACCUUCAUAUUUCCCACAACAUUUCCCAAAUAUUCUGCUGAUGAAACUUCCGGCGAUUUCCCCUAUCUCACUUUACAUCAAAUUGUUGCUGACAUACUCUAGCCACAUUAUGCUUUACCAUUUUCGGAAGCUGAUAGUGGGCUUUGAAAGCCUUUCCCCUUUUUAUUGAACAAAACUGAUAUUGGAGCAUUUUAGACAAACAAACCCCCAGAAGAGAGUGAAAUGCAAUAAUUUUAUGAGUUAAGGAUAAGAAGAAUCCAAAACUAGAUUACUAUUGAAAAGGACAAGAAAAAGAAACUUAUCUGACCGGAACAUCUGGCAUCAGUGAUCACGACAUGCAUUUUCGGACUAACCGGCCCAACUAACCAGCUCUUCAGUUGUCAUACUUCCGUUCCCAGAACUUCCAUCACUUACCCAAACCUUAAACUCAUUUAUCCUACAAUGCCACGAACAUUUUUUCACCACCAGACCUUUCUAAGUUUGCCAUUUCUCAAACUCAUUUUCUCCCUAGGAUGCUCGUGAGUGUUUUCACCACUAAGACUCUCAAAUGAAUAUUUAAAAUAUUUUUUUUUGGUUUAUUCUUUAGAUUUUCUUCCUUAAAAAAAAGGGUCAAAAAAAAUAUUUUUCUCUUCUAGGAUUUUUCCUUAAUAUAGUAUCUUCGAAAAAUUGAGUUUGGAUUUCUAGGAUUUUUCCUUAAUAGUGUAUUUGCUUCUAGGAUUUCUCUUCUUGUGUUUGCUUAAAAGAGACCUUGAGUUUAGAAUAGGUUAUAGAACAUUCAUUCUAGAAAAUUCAAAAAAAAAAAAAGAUUUGCUGCUUCAUUUCUCUUUUCUCAUCAGAUUUAAAAAAAGGGGAAUAUCAGUUUGUUUACUUUAUUCCCGUUUUUCCCAAACUACGCAAAGAUAUGAUUCAUGCAAGGUCAUGAUACGUAGGCAACCUACGUAGGGUUCGAUCGAAUCAUUUUUGUUAUUGUUAAGAGAAAAGAAAAAAGAAAAAAAAAGGGAAAACAAGAGGGUGAAAUUAUGGGACGUGAGAAAUGAGAGGAAAGAAAAUAGCGAUAAUUAGGAAAAAGAGAAAGGAAAAUGAUAAAGCAAGUGGUAGAAAAGCAAAGGAAAGAGAGGAUUGAAAUAGACAAAUUGGGAUGAUGCCAAGUGACCUUGUGACCCUCGAAGUCAUUCUUGAACCGUUAAUUGUUGCUAGGUGCAUUACACGAAAUGUGAUAUUUUAGUUCUUAAAUGCCCUAACGCUAACAUGAUGACUUCAUUUUGUUCUCCUCAUAAAAGCAUAAGGGUGGUUUAUUUUUGGUUUUUAAGGUAAUUCGUCCAUACAACACAAGGUCAAAGGGCAAGGUAGUCAUGGCUAGAAACAGCUUGGGCACAAGAGUAGUUGAUCCCUCAAGGGAGUCGGUGGAGUUGGAGUCCGAAUUAAAAGAGGAGCUCCAAAGGGUAUUAGUCUUGGAUCAGGGGGCAUCCUACAUCCUCAUUCCCCACUAACUACUCGGGAAACCCUGUAACUAUCUAUCCACUAUCAGAAAUCCAGAUUCCCACUACUGCUAAUGUUUCCCUACAACCUUUUCACACCCUACCCGCCGAAACCACCUCAUAAUACCACUCAUUUGGCCACUCAUGCUCUAGCAGCUCCUCCACCAGCUAUUUUCCUCGAUCCUCUAACGAGACUGUGUUCAAAGUCCCUGAUUCCCAACACUAUGUUCCAGAACCAAGUUUCAAAGUCUUGGAUCCAUACUCUCACGCUCCUCAUUUUGAGGCUCCUGGUGAAACUGAAAAGCCUGGUUAGACAGCGGUGCAAGAUGAGAUAUCUAGGAAGGUGAAAUCGUAGAGCAGGUUUUAAGAAACAUGCAAGGGAGAGGGAGCCAGAUGGGCGUGGCAUAUAAAGACUUGUGCUUGUUUCCUGUCGUCCAACUGCCUGCUGGGUUUAAAAUGCCGAAGUUUGAUUUAUAUGACAGGCACGGAGAUCCCGUGGCUCAUUUGAGAGGUUAUUGCAGUAAGAUGAGAGGCGCCAGUGGGAAAUGCAAAUUAUUGAUGGCGUAUUUAUGUCAGAGUCUAAGUGGGGCAACUUUGGAGUGGUACACCCGCCAAGAUGCUAAUAGCUGGUACAUUUGGGAUGAUAUGGCUCAGGCCUUUGCUAGGCACUAUCAUUAUAAUAUGGAAAUCGUCGCGGAUUGCAGGUCCCUCGCCAAGAUGGAAAAGAGGCCUAAUGAAAGCUUUAGGGAGUACGGGCUCAGAUGGAGAGAGCAAGUUUCCAGAGUCGAUCCUCCAAUGAAAGAAAAAGAGAUGGUCAACUACUUUCAUCAAGCUCUAGAACCAACUUACUUUGGGCAUUUGAUCUCGGCUGUGGGUAGGCCUUUUAAUGAUGUGGUAAGAAUGGGCGAAAUGGUAGAAGAUGGGUUGAAGUCUAGUAAGCUCAUGAGGUAUUCCGCUUUAAAAGCCACAACACAAGCAAUCCAAAGCGACACCAGAAGCUCGCUGGGUCAGAAGGAACAUGAUGAUGUUGCCAUGGUUGUUUCAGAGUCACUACAUAGACCAAAGGAUCCGCCUCACCAAUACACCCAGCCUCAACCCCAAUCCCAAACAUAUCCUUAAGAAUGGGAGAAAUGGUAGAAGAUGGGCUGAAGCCUAGCAAGCUCAUGAGUUAUUCUGCUUUAAAAGCCACAUCACAAGCAAUUCAGAGCGACACCGGAAGCUCGCUUGGUCAGAAGGAACACGAUGAUGUUGCCAUGGUUGUUUCAGAGUCACGACAUGGACCAAAGGAUCCGCCUCACCAAUAUACCAGCCUCAAAUCCAAGCCCUAACCUAUCCCUGAGCUCCACAUAAUCCACCUCAGGAUUAUCUUCUGAACAAUAUCUGGUCAUAUGUCCAACUACCAGGUCACUCCCUACGGCAAGCGCUAGCACCGGAUAAUGCAUUCUUUCCUUCACAACAUUUUUGAGCACCCAAAACCCAAGUAAACAGGAGCAGUGAAGGGAACAAAGGAAAAGAAAUAGCUUCACGCCAAUUGGGGAGUCCUACACAAGCUGGUUUGAAAAGUUACAAUAUUCUGGCCUGAUUGAGCCGCUCCUCGGCUAUACUCCAGACACAUAUGCAAAAGGAUUUGAUCCUACUGUACGCUCCAUGUACCACUCUAAUGUCCAAGGGCAUAGCAUUGAAGAUUGUCGUUCUUUGAAAAAGGAAAUAGAAAGAAUGAUUCAAGAAGGGGUAAUUGUGAUCAAUGACAGUGACCGGGAGCACGCAAAUCCUCUUGGGAACUUGUUGACUGAAGUUGACGAUAUUAAAAUUAGUAAUGGUCUUGGAUAGUGACUGAGAGCACACGAAUCCUCUUGAGAACUUGUUGAAUGAAGUUGAUGAUAUUGAAGUUGGUAAUGUUCUCGGUAAUAUCGAUGCAGAACUCAGUGGCUAAGAUGUCGUGCUUGGUUAUGGGAAAGACACUCCAUCUCUUGGUCAGCCGGAGAGGAGCUUGGUCGCUUAGUUUGUUGUCAUUUCUGUUGUUCGGAUUUUUUCAGGGUUGUAAUCUGGAUAUUGUCUUGUGACUCAAACCCUUAAAUCCUGUUAUUUUUCCUAGUUUGUGUAGUCGUAGUAGCUCAUUUAGUGUUGUAUAGGUUUGUUCCAAGGUUGUAACCCCAGUUUAGUUUGCUUAUUUUUUUGUUCGAACCGUUUCACCAUUUGUCUAGUGCAAUUUCUUGUCUUUGUUUUUUCUAUCCUUUUGUUUAGUGCUGGUUCUGGUGACAUGACAUGCACGUGUAAUUCUCAACCUGAGCUCAAAAGUUAGUUUAAGACAGAAGGGGCAUUUGAGGGAAAUAAGAACAGAUUUGGAAACUUUGAGAUUAUUUGAAUCCCGAACCAUGUGAAACUUGGGCAAGUAAAACAUAAAAAAACAGUAAAAGCAAGUUGGCCAAAUUGACAGGGGGCCUUUAGUGGUAAUGAGAGCAAGAGUGUUUCCCAAUGGUGCGUUGUAUUUAAUGGAUGAAGAAGGAAAAUGUGCGGAUAUGGUUAUCAAGUCUGGCACUACCAUAAGAUGUUACGGAUGCUUGUUUAAUUGUGUUGUUUAUAUUUGGCAUGUUUUGAAUAUUGGAAUGACGAAGGCACUUUAUUCUGCUAUCUAAAGUUUAAUUGUGUUGUUUGUACUUGACAUAUUUUGAAGAUUGGAAUAACGAAGGCACUUUAUCUGCUAUCUAAAAACUUUAUCCUUCGUCACCCCUUUUGAGCCUUAUUUAGUUUCUUUCAUACCCCUAUUUGGGAAUCAGUAGCAAGGAUCAGAAAUACAAGCGUGAAGGAUAAGUAAAGAAAAAGAGAAGAAAAAGAAUGAAAAAGAGAGAGAAGAAGAAAAAUAAGAAAAGAAAAGAAGGAAAGAGAAAAAGAAAAGAAAAGAAAAGAAAAGAAAGGAAAGAACUGAAAGAAAUGAAAGAAAAGAAAUAAAAAGAAAGAGAAAUGAAAGGAAAUGAAUAACAGAAAAACAAAAGCAAAGAAGAAAGGAAAAUCACAACAAUGUAAUUUUGAUAACGUGAACUACGUUUGACUUGAUCCCUAAAGGGUAUGUAGGCAGCCUCUCUCUAAGGUUCAGUCUCAUCAAAAUAAAUUCCAAAAGUCCCCAAGCAUGAAACUGGGGCAGAAGUUGGGGUUGUUGUGAGAAAGGACAAUCGAAACGGGAUUUGGUUAUUAAUUAUUUAGAGUCGCCACUUGGGAGAUUGAUGGUGUCCUAAGUCACUGAUUGAAUCUCGAAUCAAGGAAAAAGAUAACUCUGUACUACAGUUUGCAAACCAGAAAUCCGGAUAAGGAAUUCUGUUAAUCCGGGAGAAGGUGCUAGGCAUUCCUGGGUUCCGUGGUUCUAGCACGGUCGCUUAACUGUUGUAUUUUGAUUUUCAUACAUGCUAACCUAUGUGCACUUUUUAUUUAUAAACCUCUUUUAUAAUUAUUUUCAAAAGAAUUGCUACAUCGUGAAAACGUGUCUCUGACCACGUAGCCAUCAAGACACCCGUGGUUGUCAACACAUUUCGACACCGUCGAGAUUUGGAUUUGGGUUGCAUCAAUGCACAAGUGAGUUUAAGAAAGUAAUUUAAUUAAAACGCGUCUAAAGAUUCUAAUGUCUUACUAUUUCGGGGAAGGCUGCGAAAUUUGCUAAACGGACCUCCCAUAUUCUAAGUAAUUUUAUGUAACCAUUAUUGAGGGCCCCGUAAUUUGUUUUUAUUUGGUGGUACUCACCUCAUUUAUUAUUUGAAGGUCGGCCUAAAGCAAACUACGUAUGUUCAUAAUAACUCAUAUAUCUGAAUUCAAGUAGGAAAAUGAAUUAAACUAACAUUGCCAGAGAUGAUCAAGAAAAUUGGAAAGAAAACAAAAACAAUUAAAGAAUGCUAAUAAAUUACAUCAAUCCAUAUUGUUCUUUUCCUCUUCUUCCUUCGCAUUGGAAGUAAUUGAAUAACCAAACAAUUAUAGUUACUUCACGAAAAAAAUGAUAAAAGACUACAAUUCAAUCUAGUAAGUCUAAUUACAUCAAUUUUGAAAGAGAUUUGACAUUAACUACUGUUCAAACCAAUGAGCUUUCCAUGCCAUCUAAGCUUCACCAUUUUUCAUAUAACUCUCAAACAUUGUUACCAAUUGGAAAUAAGGGAAGUUCAUGCAUACUGAAUAUUUGAACAAACCUGGAAAAACUUAAAACCAAUCUUCAAUUCACUUAACAAAAUUCAACUUUCGUUCCACACUGCUAGUGAACAAAACACAAACUUCCAAAUUCAGAACACAAUCAACAUGAGACUAAUAUUUCAAUCAAUGACCAAGUAAAAUGAGGGAAGACCAGUGAAAUCAAACACCAUACGUCGAUGAAGAUACUCAUCGAACCAAUUCCGGAACCGAAGAAAACGAAUCCAAAUUACUAUUUCCACAUAACCACAUGUAAAUCAAAAUAAGUUAUAACCCAUUAAACAUAUGAAAGUCAGAAAUAAACCUGGAAUUUCUUUCGAUUAAUGGAACUCCAGCAGUUACACGGACUGAACAAAGAGACCGUUGCGACCUGGACUCGACACGACGAUCCUCAAACCAGCAGCCUCGAACACCAAAAUGUUUCCCGGACCUUAACUUGAUCGGAUAUCCUCACAAACACGGGGAUAUGAGCAGGACAAAGAGCAGAACUCAAGACCUAUCCUUUGAGUUGAAAACAAGAACGGCCCAGUGUAUGUGUGUGUCUGUCCGUGUGAGGGUUGGUGGUUGCCGGAUUUUGGAUUUUAUCGCUGGAGAAACAGAAGCCGAAUCGGACGUGAGCGAGGGAGACAGGAUUUUUUCUGAAAAUCAGCGCCUAGCUUGGAUCGUCAUGAAGAAGACGAAGACGAGAGGUCCGGAUCUGUCUGUUUGCUCGAGAAGGAGCAGAACGAUGAGAAGUUCUCUUGGUCAGGGAGGUGUUUUUCGUUGGUGUUGCGGCAAUAGCUGCUUGGUCAAGCCAUGUUAGGUUCAGCUCUUAGGGUCUUUCUAUGGCUGCUUCAUUGUGUGUGAGGAAGAUGACCGAAGAAGAAGCAGCGUAUGCCUUUUUCUCUACUGUUGCGACUGAAAGUAGGAGUGUUCAAAACCGAUCCGAAACCGAAAACCGAUCCAAAUCGAAGCUUAACGGCUUACUGGUAANNNNNNNNNNNNNNNNNNNNNNNNNNNNNNNNNNNNNNNNNNNNNNNNNNNNNNNNNNNNNNNNNNNNNNNNNNNNNNNAACGGCUUACUGGUAACGGCUUAACGGCUUAACGGACGGGGAACAGAUUGAAUUUUUUUUAUUAACGGCUUAUCGGUUUGGGGAUGGAUUAUUGAAUUUUCUUAACGGCUAAUCCGUUAACCCAUUAAGAAUAUAAAAUAUAUUUUAUAUAUAUAAUUUAUUUUUAUUUAUAUAUAUUAAAUAUAAAAAACUAAAACCCUUGAAAAUNNNNNNNNNNNNNNNNNNNNNNNNNNNNNNNNNNNNNNNNNNNNNNNNNNNNNNNNNNNNNNNNNNNNNNNNNNNNNNNNNNNNNNNNNNNNNNNNNNNNNNNNNNNNNNNNNNNNNNNNNNNNNNNNNNUUUGCUUUCAUUGUAAUUUAAGUAACAACUUAUGUUAUGGUUGCUAUGAUGUUGACCAGUUUGAUAUUUUCUCCAACUACUUUGAUUUGGAAUGGAGUAUUGUGAUAUCUUCCCCGUUCGUAUGAUACAAGAGUGUGAACUAAGGCAAAGAGGGUGCAGCACACUAUCUAUCCAUGACUGUUUGACUGAAUUCUUGUUUAGAGAGAAAGGUUAUUAUUUUAUAUUAAUGUGGAUACCAGGGAGUUAAAAGCUUUGUUGGAGGACAAGGACAACAAAUUUGGUAGAGAGCAACAUGAUUUGAUAGUAGCAAACUGUUUGUUAAGUAGUCUACUGUUUUGGUCAUAGAUAUCACAUCUGCUUAUCAUUUUUUUUCACUGUUACUCUAUUGUAUUUGGAGAUGCGAAGGCGAACCUUGGAGCAACAGUAAAGUUGUAUCUGUGUUACCUAUAAGUCACGUGUUCGAGCCGUGGUAGCAGUCAUAAAUCGAGUUAAUAGCCUUGUUGAAGGACAAGGACAGCAAAUUUGGUAGAGAGCAACAUGAUUUGAUAAUAGCAAACUGUUUGUUAAGCAGUCUACUGUUUUGGUCACAGAUAUCACAUCUGAUUAUCAUUUUUUUUCAUUGUUACUCUAUUGUAUUUGGAGAUGCGAAGGGGAACCUUGGAGCAACAGUAAAGUUGUAUCUGUGUUACCUAUAAGUCACGAGUUCGAGCUGUGGUAGCAGCCAUGAAUGCCUGCAUUAGAGUAGGUUGUUUACAUCACACCCUUAGGGUGCGAUUCUUCCUCGGACCUGCUGCAACUGGUAUCUGAUAAUCGUGGUAGCAGCCAUAAAUGCCUGCAUUAGAGUAGGUUAUUUACAUCACACCCUUAGGGUGCGAUUCUUCCUCGGACCUGCUGCAACUUGUAUCUGAUAACAUUUUUGAUUAGUUUUUGAUUUUUGUAAUAAAUCACGUGUAUUAGGUGCAAAAUAGGUUUUGCUUUGAGCUUCUUGGUAAUAGCUUAAGUAGUAGUUUGAUGUUGGUCUUUGUUAGGUGCCAUUUUGGUUAUUGGAUAUUUGAUUAAACUGAAGCCUUUAGAGCUCUAGGGUUUCUUUUUUGUUAAAUUUCUCAUGAAGGAGAUCAAGGUUGGACGUGGAGUCAUUUUUAAAUCACUGUAGCGGCGCUGCCCUCCUCUCCUUCUUUUAUUCAUCCGUUAUUUUUUCUUAUAGAGUAGGUUUUAGGCUUUGGGUAGGAUCGGGUCAUGUGUUUUGGGGCUUGGAUUGUUUGAGAAUAGGGUAAAAGAACUACACUUGGGCUAUUGUAUUUGCUUUUUGGGGUGGCCCAAAUUAAAUUUAAAACCAAGCUUUUUCAAUUUCUUGCCUAUUUUGUUUUCUCUUUCUUUGAUUAAAAUACCUAAGAAAUUAAAAAUCCUAAAUUAGUCUAUUUUUGUAGAAAUUAAAAUACUUUAUUUAUUUUUUUAACAUUAAAACAACUAAUUAACUUAAAGCUAAAGAAAAAUGCUAAUUUUAAAGGCUAAAAAGAUAAAUAUGCAAAAGUGACAAUAUUUUAGAAUUUUUUAUGAUUUAAAAAUGUUAAAAAUGCUUGAAAUGCAAAUAAGUAAAAUUCCUAAAAGUAACAAAAGUUAUUUUUGGACUAUUUUUUAGGAGUUAUUUUCAUGUAGGGCAAAAAUCACGUGCUCACAGCUGCCCCACUUUGCUCAGAAACCCGAAGGAUUUUCGUGCAAAGAUAAAGCGAGCGAAUACAAGCGAUUCUUGCCCAUUUGGAUACUCCACGGACAGUGGUUAUCUUACCAAUAGGAAAGAAAGCUUUACCCUGUAAAUGGGUUUACAAGGUCAAACAUAAGUUAGAUGGGUCACUUGAAAGGCUUAAAGCACUACUAGUAGUCAGGGGGGCAUCCAACGUGAAGGCAUAGACUACACUGAGAUAUUCUCCCAUGUGGUAAAAAUGACCACUAUACGAUGCUUAUUAGCCAUUGCAGUUAAGAAAGACUAGCCCAUUCAUCAAAUGAAAGUCAAUAAUGCAUUCCUACAUGGUACUUUGCAAGAAGAGGUCUUUAUGAAGUUUCCAGAAGGAUUAUCUCCACCUACUGUCAACCAUGUAUGUCUAUCGAAGAAAUCCUUGUAUGGAUUAAAACAUGCAUCACGACAGUGGUAUGCCCGUCUUGCAGGUUCCUUAAGUUAUAAAGGCUGCUCCUUAUCUCUAAAUGAUUGUUUCCUAUUUUUUAAAAGGAGGAAUAACCUAAUCUCAGUUGUAACUGUUUAUGUUGAUGACAUUCUCAUUAGCGGAGAUAAUGCAGAAGAGAUUACUAAUCUUAAGUCCUUUCUCAACUCUGAAUUCAAAGUCAAGGACUUGGAAAACUUACAUUAUUUUAUAGGCAUGGAAAUACUUCGAGAAAAACAGGGCAUAAUUAUGUGUCAACGUAAGUUUACCUUGAAUUUAUUGAAGGAAUUUGAUGUCUCUGCUCUUCCUUGUGUUUCUUCACCUCUGGAACCUUCUGUCAAAUUGAGUACUGAAGACGGGCCUCUGCUCAGUGAUCCCACCAUUUAUCGACACCUUGUGGGGAAGUUGAACUAUCUAACCCACACAAGGUCCGACUUAUCCUUCACAGUUUUGAAGUUAAGUCAGUAUAUGCAGCAACCCAGGUUUUCUCACUUCACAGCUGCCCUUCGAGUAUUGAGAUACUUGAAAUCAGACCCAAGUCAAGGGAUCCCUCACUCUCUUUACUAGCAUUUUGUGAUGCUGACUGGGCCUCUUGUCCAGACAAUAGAAGAUCUGUUAGCGGCUUCUACAUCACACUUGGGGGUUCUCCAAUUUCUUGGAAAUCGAAGAAACAAGCCUUUGUCUCUUUAUCGUCAGCUGAAGCAGAGUAUCGCUCUAUGCGUAGAGUUGUUGCUGAGCUCACUUGGCUCACACGUCUUCUCUCUGAUAUCUCUGUAUCUCCAUCUUUGCCCGUGCCGAUCUUCUCUGAUAGCAAAGCUGCUAUCAACAUUGCUCGAAACCCAGUCUUCCAUGAAAAGACGAAGCAUGUCGAAAUCGAUUGCCAUUUUGUUCGGCAACAGUUCCUUUUUGGACUGAUUUCCCUGUCCUUUGUUCCAUCCUCGUCUCAACUCACAGAUCUAUUCACCAAAUCUCUCUCAGUUCCUUCACAUAAAUCUGCCAUUGGCAAGCUGGGGGUAAUUUUUUUACCCUCCACCUUGAGGAGAGAUGUUGAGAAGAAGUCACUAAUGGCAGCUAUGGCUAUGGGAGUUGGUCUUUCUCAUAAAGAAGAAGAAGAAAGGGCGCAAGCUUUCAGACAAAAUAGACAAAAAUUUCAGAUACUUCUAGGUCACAUUUGGACUCUUAUUUGCAUGAUAGAUUAAAUCAUAAACAUUCAGAUGAGAACACCACGACUUAUUCUACACCUACACUACACUAGAUUCCAAACCUGAAAAUCUGUCACAUGGGAUAUAUACAUAGCAAAAGAAUAUUCUUUAGUUACCUUUUG
rnacentral:lncRNA from 1 species